rnacentral:lncRNA from 1 species
UCUGCUGUGGCUGAAUAUCUUAGGUAAGGUCGUCAGGAUAGUACAAUUGUUUUUGUACUUGGACAACGACGUGACCUUUAUCCUAGUUGACUUCUGAUCAGAGCGAUGCUUCGUGUUGGAACUUGUAAAGCUUGGUGAUCAGAGUCAAAGGGAAGCUUGGAUCCUAUGACCUUCGUAACUUUUGCUUCUGGGCCUCAGAGUAGAAGGUACUUGGUCUUCAGAGCCAGCUUACUCUUGGACUUCAGAGUCUUCACUUCUCAGCUUCUGGACCUUCAGAACUUCUGAUCCUUCAGAGCCUCUGAACCUUUAGAGCUUCUGGACCUUCAGAACUUCUGGUCUUCAGAACUUCAAGUGAUCUGAAUCCAUAUCAGAGUUUGUAAACUUCAGAACUUCUAAAGCAUAUACUACUGUUCAAAAGAACAUAGUGAGUGCGAAAGCGUUGCAUAAGUUACUCUUUGGGCAUAGUGCUUCUGAUAAGUGUGAGUAUUGAUCAGAGUCAGAGCCUGUCACAUAAACACUCAGAAAACAACGUUAGAGUACCAUAAUUGUUCAUACACAAUAGUUAACAUGUAAUCAUCAAAACAUAGAGUUGUACUACACGAUCAAAUCUUGAUCUUACAAUCUCCCCUUUUUGAUGAUGACAAAACCAAGUAUUUUGAUGAACAAUAUUUAAACAAUAAACUUAAUUCACUCAGAGUUUAGAGAGUAGAGAUAAACUUAUCCUGAGAUAAAUGGUUUAUGUUGCUCAUUCUGAAUCCAAGUCACAGCUUGAUUCUGAGCUUAGCUCCUCCUGAAUCUAAGACUUAAUGAAAGCAUUAGUAAUAUCUAGAUUCUGAGCUAAAUAAUAAAAGAGAUCAGAGUAAGAGUUUAUGACAUAGAUAAUAUGUGAAUAUCAAAGCGCAUAAAUAUUCAGAGUCAUGAGCAAGGUAAAGGUAACAGAAUUAACCGAUUGAGCAUGCAAUCACUUCAGAAGAAGUGAAAAUGUAUUCCUUGUAUGUGCCCAGUGACAAAUUUAUGGUCAUAAAGGUGGAACUCUUGAAUUCUCCAAAAGAAAAAAAAAUCACACUAACACAGCUUACACAUCAAAAACUGGGUUAUACUCCCCCUUUUUAUCAUAAGCAAAAAGAAUGGGGUGUGAAAAACUUAGCUUGAAGUACAAGGUACUCCCCCUUAGAGAAAGUCUAAGUUAAGAAAAAGGAGAAAAUAAAAGGAUUAAAAAAAAAUUAGUUAAUUAAUGCAUAUGCAGAAAAUUAAAUGAGAGAGUGGAACGUUUACCACCGGCCAAGGAGUCAAAAGUAAGCAGUUGUUUCCAAUGAAUAAUCCUCGAGAAACUGCUUCAACAAUAACUUCUGGAGACUGAACUAAGCUUAUAAAUAGCGGUUAAAGCAUAACAGUCUUCACAUCUUAUCUGCUUCUGAAAUCAACAUUGCAAUGGCAUCCAACAUAGCUUUCAUCGAAGAACUAAGGAAGAAGGCAUUUGAUGAAGAUCUCUUCAUUAAUGUGCGGCAUCCAGAGGAUCCGAGUGUCUAUAGUCUGACAAACCAACUAUUAGGCAUGGGCCUAAGUCCAGAAAUGGACAACAUCCUUAGAGGUUUCCUCGCGUUUGUAGAGGAGCUUCAAGAUCUUUUCCAGCGGGAGCUGAAUAACUCUACUAAGAUAGAAGCGGUGGAGACUGCACUGGAGACUAUGGCGGAGGGUCCUGAGAGGCAGGAAGUGCGCCAGAGCUUGGUCCAAUUAGAGUAUAGGCAGCAUCGUCUAGAGCUUGAGAAAGCAGCGAUGCGUAGGCAGUGUAGAUCUUUGAGGAAAAAUCCUCCUUUUUGAAUGUAUGAAUGUAAAUGUAUGACUGAUUUUAAUAAAAGAAGCUUGUUUGUUGAUUAAUGCAUAUAUGUAAAACUAAGGUAACAAAGAACAAGUAAAUAUGCAAGCACAUAAGAAAGAAAAGAAAAUAGUUUGAUAAAAGGAACAGAGUUAGAGAUAAGAACGAUAAUAACAUAAUAAUAAAAUUGGAAGAAAAGAGAGAUCCUAAACUAAGGUUUAGUUGUCAUCUUCAGAAUUUCUGCGCACAUCUCUUGAAGACUCUGGAGAAGAGCUUCUUGAGAAUCAAGUCUUCUUUCAAUGAGGUCAAGUCUGGAGUCUAACUGAACUGGAGCAGACGGAGCAGCUUGAUUAGAGUGAGGAGCUUGUGCAGAGGAUGAGGCGAUGUUUGUAACCUGAACAGGAGCGAGCACUUGAGCUUUAAGAGCUGCGGUCUCAGCUUCUAAUUUUGCAGUUUAUUCCAAAGCAUCAAGCCUGGCAGACUCACGUAGAGUUGCUUCAAGCCUUGCAGCAACUUCUGCUUCCUCUUUCUUCUUUCUUGUUUCUUCUAUUUUAGUGUGGAGUUUUUCCCUUAAGCGUCUUUCAUGUAGAGCUUGUCUUCUCCUGGUUCUGGCUUCAAAUCUCUGUCUAGCAGCAUUAAUUAUGGCCUCUCUUUCCUCAUUGUAGAGUAACAUCAUCUCAUCAAUCUGGUUAUGCAUCCAAUUGCACCGACGACUCCAGUCUUCAGCAACCAAGUUGGGUUUUUCACUGUGGUCAGUCUGACCAUACAAGUUGUGAAUGUGUGUUGAUGUUUGAUCAUGAAAUAAGUUCAGGAAACUAAGUAGAGUGUCUGGUUUAGGGUAAGUGUAUGGGAUGAUGGACAAAUUGGUUUCAGGUGAGGGAGGAUGAUUACUGCUAGUGGCUUCAGAGGUACCUUGAGGAGAGCCAAUAUUCAGAGUCUUAGGGACAGUGGUAUUGGUCUUAGGGUUUUGGUUUGAAGUGCCAGUGUCAACAUUAGGAAACUCAAAAUCAGCAUAUUUGACUGAAGAGAGAUUUGAAAGGGACACUUUGGAGAAAUCUUUUUCCUUCUGAGGAGGAGGAGAAGAAGGAGGAGAGGGAGGAGGAGGUGGUGCUGAGUUCAGAGGGACCGCAUUGAUUGGAAAAUCAGGAGCAACCAGAGGUUCUGGUCUAGGUCCAGGAUAGUGGUUUGGACAUGCUCAGGAAUCUCUGAGAUCCUUUAACUUGAAAUUUGAACGAAUUGGCGAUUAGAUUCAGAUUUGUUGGAUGGUGAGGAAAAUGGAGUAUUGGUAGGAAAAGAAACAGAUGGAGCGGGAGAGAGAUUUUCUCGAUCAGAGUGAUCAGGUGAUUUUGGUUCAGAGUCUGGCUUUUCAGAGGUUUGUGUUUCAAAAGCUUGUGUUUCAGAGGCUUGUGGAUUAUAUGGAAGUAUAAUAGGUGAGGUUGGUUCAGAGGGUUUAGGAUUUUGAAGCAUUUGUCAGAGGGGUUCUUCCUCAAUGGAAGGUUGAAAGAAUAAAGGCCUAGGUGGUGAGAUGUGAGUGGUUGUUUGGACAACAGGUGUGGACUCAGGAAUAGGAGAAGGUAAAGCUAAGGUUGGAGUGGGGUUAGACACAGCAUCAACAACAUCGGAUUCAUCUUCAUCAGUAAGAACAACGAACUUACUUGAAUUCCUGAUUGAAGAUCUGGUAACUUUGGUUGUAAUUGCUGCUCUAGUAGGUUCCAGCCGAAUAACCUUUGUAGCAAUUCUGACCUUCUUUUUCUUCUUCUGAGGUGGUUGCUCAUCAUCAUCACCAUCAGAGUCAUCCUUUGUUUCAGCAGUAUCCUAUUGCUUCCUCUUGGUCUUCUUCUUCUUGGGUGAUUCAAAAUCAGGAGCGUCUGGCAGAACUCUGAAGAACUCAUCCACAUCAAUUUCGAAGCCUUGCCUCUUCAGAUCAUCAAGAUAGAACAUGAUUGCAUCUGGAUCAUCAGCCUUUGACCAGAGGGGGUAGUCUGUGAGAGAGACUCUUCUUUUCCUGACUUCAUCUGUUGUGGCAGCUGAUUCAGCUUCAACUUUCAUAUCUACCAGACCCAUCUUCUUCAUUGAUGUAGGAGUGAAAGCAUCUCCAACAAUAGUUGAGAGAUCUUCAGAGCAUCCUGCUUUGGUCAGAGCUUCUAUCAACUUGCUCUCAAUGAAGAAAUCAAAUAGUAGCCUUCCAAAAGAAAUGUACUUGAUUGUAGGCUUGUUGAGGCUGCUGUUGUUCUCGACUUUCUGAUGCAAUCCUUGAGAUAGUUGAACAAGAAAUAAGGAAGACAGAUUUUCUUGUGAGUCUUAAUGAAGUACAGCAUCACCUUCUGAUUGAAAUUGAUAUAGUCUGGAGAACUUCCCUUUGGUCUGGGAUUGAAACAUUUAAGUAUAAUCUUGUGCCAAAUCCUCAGAUUAGGAUGAAUAUCUUUUGUCUUGCAAUCACCUUUACCUGGUUUCCAGGUAGAGUACAACGCCUUGUUGAUUUUGUCUUUGGUUCCCUUUGUCUUGGGUUCGCUUGUAUGAGACUUGUAGCCAUUGAUGGUUUCUGCACCCAGAAGCAGAGCAAUAGAUCUCUCAGUGAUGAUGAUCCUUUUGCCCAGCACGUAGAAAACCACCUUCCCAGCCUUGAGCUUGCACUGCAGGACGAAGAUCAAACCCAUUUGCAGCAAUGUUGUUGAGGUCAAAACGCAUCUCUGAAAGAACCUGAAGUUCUUCUGGAGGAGAAUUGCAGGUAACUGCACAACCUCUCUGAGCAAUUGGAAUAACAUUCCCAGUUUCUUGAUUCGCAGCUUGAGUAGACUUAGUGGAUCGUGAACGAGGAGCAGGACCAACUUGACCCAUUGGAAGAUCCACUACCAAAUUUGGAAACACUCUUCCAUCAGCAGAAUCAACCCUUUCUGAUCUAUCCAUGGUGAUGAAGGUUUGGGUCGAAAGAGGAGUGAAUGAAAGAGAGAAGAGAAAAUGAAAAAGGGAGGUUUAGGUUUUUGCAAAUAAGAGAGAGAGAGAAACAAAAAUAGAGAGUGGUGGACAACGUGUGUGCGUAGUGGUUUUGAAAGUAAUCGUUGGUGGUUGUAAAACAAAAGUAAAAUCAACGGCUAGAAAUUAAAUACAUGAUUAUGAACAGUUAAUACACAAAACACACGGUGGAGAAUAAACACAUCUACACUCAUUACAAUAGAUUGUCCGGAGGGGCACAAGGAAUGAGGCAUCAGAAAAGACUGACACACAUUUGCUGUCUUGUCUCAGAGUGGGUACCAAUGGGUACUCAGCAUCUGACAAAGUUACCUUCUGAACUAGACAUCUUCUGAUAAAGAAGCAUCAUAGUCAGAGGUUCUGAUCCAUCCUCAUACUUGACAAAAGUCUAUAUUCAAAUUUUUCAGUAUGAAAUUAAAUCUAUCCUCUGCCAAGGGCUUUGUAAAGAUAUCUGCCCAUUGUUGGUCAGUAUCAACAAACUUCAGAAGAAGUACGCCGUUCUGAACAUAAUCUCUAAUAAAAUGAUACUUUACCUCAAUGUGCUUUGCCCUUGAAUGUAAGAUUGGAUUCUUACUGAGUGAGAUAGCAGCAAUAUUGUCGCAGUAAAUUGGAAUAUUGCUCUCAAGGAUUUGAUAAUCCUCUAGCUGAUGUUUCAUCCAGAGCAUCUGAGUGCUGCAAAUAGCUGCUGAGAUAUAUUCUGCCUCUGCAGUGGAUAGUGCAAUUGUAGACUGCCUCUUGCUUGCCCGUGAGACUAAAUUACUUCCCAGAAAUUGACAAUUUCCAGAAGUAUUUUUCCUUUCAGUCCUAUCUCCAGCAUAAUCAGCAUUAUAGUAACCUGAAAGCUUAUACUAUGAUGUUUUCUUAUACAUCAAGCCAAGGUUAGUGGUACCUUUCAGAUAUCUGAGAAUUCUCUUAACAACAGUUAAGUGAGUUUCUCUCGGAUCUGAUUGGAAUCGAGCACAUAAGUGUACACUAAACAGAAUAUCUGGUCUAGAUGCAAUUAAGUAUAGAAGUGAACCUAUCAUACCACGAUAGAGCUUCUGGCACACUUUGCUACUAGCAUCUUCUUUCUCCAGAAUGCAUGUAGGAUGCAUUGGAGUCUUAGCAAUUGUAGAUUCUGUCAUAUUGAACUUCUUCAGAAGUUCCUUUGUGUACUUUCUCUGAUGGAUGUAAGUUGCUUCUGGUUUUUGAUCAACUUGUAUUCCCAGAAAAUACUUAAGUUCUCCCAUCAUACUCAUUCCAAAUUCAGUCUGCAUCAUCUCAGAAAAUUCCUUGCAAAGAGAUGGAUUAGCAGAUCCAAAUAUAAUAUCAUCUACAUAAAUUUGCACAAUUAAGAUAUCAUCUUUGUAGGUUUUGCAAAAGAGAGUUGUAUCUACUUUACCCCUUACAAACUCAUUUUCCAGAAGGAAUGAGCUUAGUCUCUCAUACCAUGCUCUGGGAGCUUGCUUCAGACCAUAGAGAGAUUUCUUCAACUUGAAUACAUGGUUAAGGUUCUUCUCAUCUUCAAAACCAGGAGGUUGGUGCACAUAUACUUCUUCAGAAAUAUAUCCAUUCAGAAAAGCACUUUUAACAUCCAUCUGAUGAAGAAUUAUGUUGUGAUUCACUAAGAAUGAGAUCAGCAGUCAGAUAGCUUCCAAUCUUGCUACUGGAGCAAAUGUUUCAGUAUAAUCUAUCCGUUCUUGCUGACCGUAGCCUUGAGAAACUAUCCUUGCUUUGUUUCUGACUACUUCUCAUUUCUCAUUGAGCUUGUUUCUGUAGACCCAUUUGUUUCCAAUGAUGUGAACACCUUUGGGUUUCUGGACAAGAUUCUAGACAUCGUUCUUGGAGAAUUGAUUCAGCUCUUCUUGCAUAGCCAGAAUCCAGUCCUUGUCUUGAAGAGCCUCAUCAACAGACUUUGGUUCAAUCAGAGACACCAAUCCUUUCAGGCUUAGUAAAGUCUCUUCAGAGGGUCUGAAUGCAGAUCUGGUUCUGACUGGUUCGUCUUUGUGCCCCAGAAUCAACUCUUUAGGAUGUGAGGCAAUGAUUCAGCUCUUCUUCUGAAGUUGUGGAUCAGAGGGACCAGCUUCCUCUGGAUCAUCUGCCUCUGGCUCAACUUGCUCUGGAGCUUUACCUUUAUCAGAAACAAUUAUGCUCAUAUCUGCAAACUUAUCAGCUAGCUUUGACUUGUUAGAGUCAAGCUUAUCAUCAAAUCUAACGUGAAUAGAUUCCUCAAUAGUUUUAGCAUCAGUAUUAUAAAUUCUAAAACCUUUAGAGCGAUCAGAUUAACCAAGUAAUAGACAUUUAGAAGAUUUAGAAUCAAAUUUAUGCAAUCUAUCCUUAGUAUUCAGAACAUAGCAAACACAACCAAAAGGAUGGAAAUAAGAAAUGUUGGGCUUUAUAUUCUUCCACAAUUCAUAAGGAGUCUUAUUCAGAAUUGGUCUGAUAGAGAUUAUGUUCUGAAAUUAACAUGCUGUGUUUACUGCCUCGGCCCAGAAGUGCUUUGCCAUGUCAGUUUCUUGAAGCAUAGGUCUAGCCAUCUCUUGAAGAUUUCUAUUCUUCCUCUCAACAACACCAUUUUGUUGAGGAGUUCUAGGACAAGAGAAAUCAUGUGAUAUCCCGUAGGAAUCAAACAGACUCUCAAACUUGUCAUUCUCAAACUCUCCACCAUGAUCACUUCUGACACGCACAAUCCUGCAACCCUUCUCGUUUUGCACUUGGGCAAUAAAGGUAGAAAACACAGAAUGAGACUCAUCCUUGCGGGAUAAGAAUUUUACCCAUGUCCAACGGCUAUAGUCGUCAACAAUGACCAUCCCAUAUCUCUUGCCACCUAUAGACUCAGUUUUCACUGGUCCAAACAGGUCGAUAUGCAGAAGUUCCAACGACCUUGAGGUGGAAACAAUAUUCUUUGCCUUAAACGAGACUUUUGUAAAUUUUCCUUUCUGACAUGCUUCACAAAGAGCGUCUGAAGAGAACUUCAGAGUGGGUUAGUCACUGACAAGGUCAAGCUUACUCAGCUGAGAAAUCUUUCUCAUACUGGUAUGCCCUAACCGUCUAUGUCAUACCCAUUGCUCCUCAUAAACAGAAAGAAGGCACUUUACUUUCUGAGUUUCCAACUCAGAUAAUCUGAUCUUAUAAGUGUUGUUCCGCCUCUUGCUGUUAAAUAGAACAGAGUCAUCGAUCUGACUUACAGCCCUGCAAGACUUUUGAUUAAAAAUAACAUCAUAACCCUUGUCAUCUAAUUGACUUAUUGACAAUAAGUUAUGAUUUAAACCAUCUACCAACAGAACAUUAUCAAUGCAUGGACUAUUAUCAAUACCAAUAGUGCCAGAACCAACAAUUUUACCCUUCUCGUUGCCACCAAAGCCAACUUCGCCUCCAGGCUUAUGUUUUAGCUCUUGGAACAUACGCCUUUCUCCCGUCAUGUGUCGCGAGCAUCCACUAUCCAGAUACCAUGAUUGGUGUUUCAGUGGAGCGAUCAAGGAUAUCUUCAACAUAGAUAAUCUUAUCCUUAGGUACCCACUUUCUGGGUCCUUUCUUGUUAGUUACCUCAGAGGUUCUGACAACCUUGGGUUUCUCAACAUGAUAAAGUAAAGGAAUUUGAGCAUGAUAUUUAGACAUAGAGAAGAUUUCCUUUUUCAGAGGGGGGUCAACAACUUUAUCAAGCAAUGGUUCAGGCAAUAUAGUACCAGAGGGUACAAAAUGUUCAUACAAGGAUUUUGCCUUAGGCAUAGGAGGCUCAUUUCUACUGGGUCUAGAAUAUCCAAUGCCAUACAUUCCAUUUCUGCUUACGCCAUAGAUCAUUGAAGUCAUUAAGCUUCUGUCUACGCUUUUAGCCAGGAAUCUUUGAAAAGAUUUUUCAUAUUUAGAUUCAUUCUUACUAUCAGAGGCAUCACAAGCAACAACUUAUUCUAACUUAACAAUCUGAUUUUUGAGCACAUAGUUAAAGUUUACUAAAGCAUGAUUACUUUCUUUUAAUUUAGAAAUACUUUUCUCAUGUUCAGUAGAAGUCUUAGAAACAGCAGAGAAAUCCUUUUUCAACUUUUUAUGCUUAGUCAAGAGAGAGUUAUAUUUAUCCAUAAUUUCAGACAAAGCAUCUUUAACUUCAGAGGUUGAGAAAGAAGUGAAUACCUCAUUUUCAUCAUCAGCGUUUAGAUCUUCCUCUGAUGUAGGUUCAGAGUUAGUUGCAUCUUUUGACUCUGCUUCUUUGUUCUUGACUAUAGCCAUGAGUCCUUCAACAACUUCUCCAUCAGAUUCAACUUCUUCUGACUCUGAGUCAUCAAAAGUCACCAUCAGACCUUUCUUAGCUUUGAGAUGCUUCUUUGGCUUCUUGUCCUUUUUCAGCUUUGGACAAUCACUUUUGUAGUUCCCUGACUCUUUGCAUUCGAAGCAAGUGACUUCCUUUGAUGAAGACUUCUUCUGACCAGAUGAAGAUUCAUGCCUUCCUUUGGCCUUUGAUGAACCUCUGUACUUGCUCUGCCUGUGCUUCUAGAGGCGGUUGAGCCUUCUGGAGAUCAAGGUUAGCUCAUCUUCAUCAGAGUCUUCAGAGCUUUCAUCAGACUCUUCUGCAGCUGCUUAGAGAGCUUUAGCCUUUUCAGAUUUGGAUUUCAAGGCUAUGGACUUCUUCCUGUGCUUCUGAUGUUCAGCACGAUCUAACUAAUGACACUUCAGCAUGCUUAUGAGUUCUUCCAGACCCAACUGUUCAAUGUCUCUUGAAAACGUCAAAGAGGUUAUCAAGGGCACCCAGUUUUCAGGAAGACCUCUAAGGAUCUUCAUAACAUGAUCAGCCGUGGUGUAGCUUUUGUUGAGGGAUCUUAUUCCAGCAAUAAUCAACUGGAAUCUGGAAAACAUGUCCUCAAUGGAUUCGUCAGGUUCCAUUUGGAAGGAUUCAUACUGCCUGAUUAGAGACAACGCCUUUGUCUCUUUCACCUUUUUGAUUCCUUCAUGUAUCAUCUUCAAGGAAUCAAAGAUAGACUUAACAUACUCACGAUCUGUUAUCUUCUGGUAUUCUUCAUAAGAGAUAGCGUUGAGAAGAAUAGUUCUUGCUUUGUGAUGUAACGAGUACAGCUUCUUCUGCUCAGCUGUCAUGUUUUCUCUGGAGAUCUUCUUGCCAUCAUUAUCAACUGGACGCGUGUAGCCAUCCACUAUGAUAUCCCAGAGAUUUGCAUCGAAGCCCAGAAAGAAGCUUUCGAUUCUAUCUUUCCAGUACUCAAACCUUUGUCCAUCAAAGACAGGAGGCUUUGCACUGUAAACAUCCUUUUGCACAUCAGUGGUGGUAGCCAUCUUAGUUUUUCACACCGGCCCGGAUCACUGAACAAUGUUAGGUGUGGUAAUCAGAACUUGCACUAUGAUACCAAUAGAAGUUAUGAAAAACGAUAGAAAGGGGGGUUUGAAUAGUAUUUUCAGUUAAAACUUUUCCCACCUGAGAUUUUAACAAAUCUCUCAAACAAAGAAUGUAAAGUGCUAAGAUAAGAGUUUAGGUAAGCCCACGAGGAUUUUAUCCUGGUUCACUUGAUAAAUCCCUCAAGCUAAUCCAGUCCACCCGUUAAGGUGAUUUCUUCCUUUAUGAAUGAAGGCAAUCCACUAUUCAGAGUUUGUUACAACUGCACUAGCAACCUGCUCAGUGACUAACAAUACAAUGAACUAGUAAACACUAAGAUUUACUCUCUUAGUCUUCUCAAGGAUCUGACCAACCUUAGUCCCUUAAGGAAAAAUAAACUAACUGUUUGAAUGUUUGGGUUUACAAAGAAAUGCUUCUCAGAAAGCUAAGGUAAACGCAAUAAGAUUGGUUUGAAGAAAGAUUGCUAAGAGAAUAUGAAUAUUGCUUGAGCUUGAACAAGGUUUUUUUCCUCAGCGGCAUCUUUCAUCUUCAGCCUCUUUAUAUACUCCAAGGAUUAGGGUUGUAUCCGUUGCAUGGAUUACUACCGUUGGAGGGCAAAUAUGUAACUUCCAGAUUAUGUUGUGGCUGAAUAUCUUAGGUAAGAUCGUCAGGAUAGUACAAUUGCUUUUGUACUUGGAUAGCCACGUGACCUUGACUUCUGAUCAGAGCGAUGCUUCGUGUUGGAACUUGUGAAGCUUGGUGAUCAGAGUCAGAGGGAAGCUUGGAUCCUCUGACCUUCGUAACUUCUGCUUCUGGACCUCAGAGUAGAAGGUAUUUGGUCUUCAGAGCCAGCUUACUCUUGGACUUCAGAGUCUUCACUUCUCAGCUUCUGGACCUUCAGAACUUCUGAUCCUUCAGAGCCUCUGAACCUUCAGAGCUUCUGGACCUUCAGAACUUCUGGUCUUCAGAACUUCAAGUGAUCUGAAUCCGUAUCAGAGCUUGUAAACUUCAGAACUUCUGAAGCAUAUACUAAUGUUCAAAAGAACAUAGUGAGUGAGAAAUCGUUGCAUAGGUUACUCUUUGGGCAUAGUGCUUCUGAUAAGUGUGAGUAUUGAUCAGAGUCAGAGCCUAUCACAUAAACACUCAGAAAACAACGUUUGAGUACCAUAAUUGUUCAUACACAAUAGUUAACAUGUAAUCAUCAAAACAUAGAGUUGUACUACACGAUCAAAUCUUGAUCUUACACAUGUUAUGUAAAUAAAUGAUAGAACCUGUAUUUAUAUGCUCGGUAUCAUUGGAGAUUGUCUUUGCAAGUGUUUGAGAAGUCCCUUGAGUGAAACUUCGGAUCAUGUGGUCGGCUUUAUAUGGGCCCAUCUAUUAAGCUCCUUGUGUCUCGGCCUUCUUGUCGUGGAUCAGUAGUUGAGACGAGGUGUCCAUUUUCAAGUCCUUCAAUCCAUACUUCUAGAAAGUGCUUAGGUGCAUGCCUUUUGGUUGAUUGAGAUGCUUUCAAACCCAACGACUUUGUAGUCAGCCGGACACAUAAAUUAAAUUAUUAAUUUGAGGCUUAUUUCAAUAAAGUUAUCAAAUUAACUAAUAAAUAAACAUUUAUUGUUAUAAGUAUUUAAUUAAGGGUGUGUUUUGAAAAUAACUUUAUUAAGCGCCUAUAGGGAACUAAGACUUUAUGCGAAAAACACUUAUUCAUAAGCCAAUUCGAAGAAAUUAUCAAAAUAAGCGGAUCCAAAAUAUGUUGUAUGUAAGCAUAUAUAAGCUCUUAUUCAUAAGUUAAUAUGAACCGCUUAUGAAAAUAAGCUCAAAAUACCUUAUAAGUUAUUCAUAUAAACUUUCCCAAAUACUUACAAAGUGUUAAUACUAUAAGAUAAACUCAAUUAAAUUCUUCCAAACGCGGUCUAAAUUAUUUAUCCAAACGCACCAUUAGUUGGUUGUGUUUACGGUAUGGAAAAAUAUUGAAGCAUGGACCAUUCCAAUAUUACCUAAAUGUUUUGAUUUUGAUGUGUUUUGUUUGUAAUUUACUAAGAGUAUGAUGUACUCUUUUUCCUUCACUAGGUUUUUAUCUCUUUUGAGUUUUUCCUAGUAUGGUUUUAAUGAGGCUCAUACUCUAGUAAUAUAGGUAUUGGUUGGUUUGUAUAUUUAACUUCUUGAGCAUGUUGUUCUCAUGAAGAAUUCAUUUCAAUAAAAUAUCUAUAUCUUUUCUGCUGUCAAAAAAAAAAACCUAAAUGUUUUGAUAUAGCUAGUUUUUUAAAUGGUUGGUACACUACUAAAAAAAUGUGAUUUACCGACGGAUUUUAGCGAGGGACAAAAAUCCGUCGCUAAUAGCGACGGAAUUACCGACGGAUCCGCGGCUUAAAAGUAAACAUCCUGCUUUUAAAUUUAGCGACGGAAUAGAAGCCUCAUCUGAAAUCUCAUCUGAAGGUGAUGGUGGUUGUGCCGUCAGAGGCGGUAACAUCUAUUCAGAGGAAUCGUUGUAAUCUUUGCUUGGGUUUCUGUUCCACAGACACUGUUACAAGAUUUUGUUGAUUUGUACUCCUCUUUGGGCUGGAAUUCUCUUGUUUCUUUCUCUUUCUUCAAAACCUUGUUUCUUUGUUGAGCUUUCAAGGUCUUCAUUUGAUGUAGUUAUUUGUUACUUGCUUUGAUUGCCAAACUGAUGGAAUUAGUGGGUGGAAGGAAAGGAAAUGAAAGGUGGAAGGGGGCGGGGGUAAGAGUAAGAAAAUGCAAUCAUGCUCUGGUUGAAGCAAAGGUGUUAAGGUGUACAUUUUUUCUAAGGAAUAUAGAUAUGGAAGCCCAAAAAACUUAUCCUUUUGCUGGCUUUAUAUGCUUUUUUCAAUUGGACUUCUUUAUAAAAUGUUUUUCGAUUUUGUCAUUUUGAAGGACAUGGGGCGCUUCAAUUCAUCAGUGUCUUACCCAUCAUGUGGCAGGGGUGCCUCAGUUUUUGGAAAUUUUGUCUCCUCUUUAUGUAAAGAGGUUCCCAAUCAUGUUAAGUAAAGUCUAGCUUUUUUCCUUUUUCAUGGGUACAGUGAUAGAUUGAAAUACCCUACUAUUUUACUCUGUAUUUAGCAGAUAAAUUUACAUUUUGUGUGUAUGGGGAUGUAAACUAACAAAGAAAAGAAACUGAUGCAACAAGAUAAAAUUGGUGGGUUUGGUAUUAAAUGAGUAAGAAAUAUUGUAAAUAGCAGAGAUUUUUUGCUCAGAUUGAACUGGAAAAGUUAGGCUGUUGCAUAGUAUUUUCAUUCAAAGUAUAAUAAUGUAUGUUUUGGUUACUAGGACAUGUUUAUAGUUCUUUGAAUUAUCAUUAAGAAUUAUUACAUUUUGGAUGAAAUUUUGGGAUUUAUUUUUCGUUUUCCUAUGAGCAGUAGACACUGAUGCUCAUACAUUUGGUAAAAAGAAAAUGGUUGAUUCACAUGGCCUUGAGCUUGUGAGAGGACAGCUUUUGUGAAUUGCAUGCCAUGUUUGCCUAACCAUGUCGAAUAUAGCAGAAACAGAAGUUUGGCUUGGAUGAUGUUUUUAAUGUGAGAGUAGCAUAAUGCUAUUUAUUGUCUAACGUUUAACCGUAUAUUGGCACCUUUUCAAGAAUUAGGUUUUCACCAUCCAUUAGGUGCUUGUCUUCAAUUUGUGAAGAAGAGAGAUAAUGCUCAUGAAGUUAAUAGAUAGUUUGUGGAAACUAUAUGCUAGGUAGCCUGCUUUGUCAUCUUGAAGUAGAGGGGGGCCAUCACAAGUAUAGAAGAAAUAAGUUAGGGUAUCUAGCUGACAGAGACUUUGUAAAAUUAAGACUUUUGCACAGUUAGCUUUGCUGCCUUGGUCUGUUUCGUGGGGAGAAUAUUUUUUUAAGACUUGCUUUCUUCUUUGCUGGGCCUGUCUUUAUGCAGAGUGUUGGAGACUAUCUGUUAGAAUCCUACUCUAUUGUGCUUCAUUAGUAUUUUUGUACAAGGGUUGGGGCACCCCUAAUGCCCCUUUAUUUAUACUUUCAUUUUGUUGAUAAAAAAAAUCUUUAUUGAAUACUUCUGAACAUGAAUAUAUACUCAAUGUCCUAUUUGAUCAGUACUGGGUAACAGAUACAUGGAUCAGGGUUUCACUUUCCAGUAGUAAUUCCUACGACUAAUAGAUUAUACUUCAAACCUUACUUGAAGAAACAUAUAAAUUCCCAGCUAACUAAUGCUGAUGUUUAUGAUUUUAGCAACUUUGUUCUCUUGGUGCUGAAUUCUUUCUUUAUUUCAGUUACCCUUGCAUAAUUAAUUUUUGAUGACAUGAAGGCUUACCAGUUAGUUCUACUUGUAGAUCCAGCUGUUGCCAGAACCAGAACACCAAACCAAGAGGAACCAACAAGAUGAGAACCCUUGAAUGUCAUUAAUAAAACAUAGGAACCAGAACAACUUUUAAUAUCAAGGUUUUUUUACUCAAUCUUUCACUAACUGUCUUCUUCUCAAUUCAGUAUGGUGAAAACUGUGAUGAGGUUAUUAUGAUAAUAUGUUUUAAUAUAUAGCUGAAUAGAGCCUUCAAAAUUUUUGGAAAAAGAUUUCCUUCAUGAAUUUUGAGGUCGAAUUCGCAUGAGGAGGGUGUGAUUAUGAUUAUUAUAUAGAUGGUAGAAAAAAUGUUUUGUUUUAUUUUACGCAUUGUGAAACUUUUGCUGCUGCAUGUCUCUAAAUCGUGGUGCAAAAUGAGGUUGAUUGUGUGGUUUUAAUGAUGGAUGUUUUGUUGUACUUUCUGUAAUAAGUUUCUGAUCCAAUUGAUGAACUCUUCAUGCUUUAGCCCUUGAACAUGUUGAAAUUUAUACUACUGUUUGGAAUUCAGUAUUUAAACAAGUGCUGCAUCUUGAAAGUCUCUUAGGUAAGGUUUUUAGAGUUAUUAUUUAAUAGGGUUUGUCAUUCCCCCAACUUACCUUUUCUUACAGCGAGUUCACUCCCACCGCGGCCUAUGCAUUAGGUUUCCCUCUAUUUUCCUUUCUCCUCCCCACUUCUCUCCCAUUUCUCCUAGCUUGUCUUUUUCUCUCCCUUGCUAACCCUCUUUCUUUCUCUGUCUCCAAAAGGAUCUUCAUACACUAUCAAAGGGAAGGCAUUGGAGGAAGAAGAUAACCUAACACCCUUGCGCAGCUUGCGAUUCAUACAAGGUAGGAUGGAGUCCUAAACUUGCUGCAAUUUACAUUUGGGGAAAAAAAUACAUGGUGUUAUAUCUCUGUGUUGCCUUCAUGUUUGCUGCGAUUUAAAGUUGCCUUUUUUUUAUGAAAUAAAUGGAUUGGUUUGCUGAAUAGAGCCUUCCAAAAAUUUGGAAAAAAUAUCUCUUUGAUGAAUUUUCUUGGAGGAAUUAGCAUGAGUAGUGUGUGUGAUUUAUGAAGAUUAUUUGUAUCAAAUUCAGAGUUGAGCUUAUUUGUAUCAGAUUCCUUUCCCUUUCGGUUACUUUUAUUUUUGAGCUCACCUUAAGAGAUGGUUUUUGCAGUUGUACAAAAAUGCUUACUAAUCACUUUUUCUUUCGUGAUUCAUUGAAUUUGAUGUUGAUUUGCUUCCCUAUGUACAGGUUUGAGUUGGAACUUGCGGUUUCAUCUCCUCUAUAAGCCUCGACUUCUCAGGAUAGAGGGAGCAAUCUGCUUUGUGUUUCCCUUCUGUGGAUGUGAAGCUGCUUGAAUAAAGAGGUACAUCCCUAUCUGUCUAAGUUUGAAGCUACUGAAUGAAGGGUUUGACACAUGUGCUUGUGGGUAAAAUCGUUGUUGGGACUUAUCUUUAUGGGUUCUCACUAUUUUCGGCAACAAUCUUUACUGAACUGCUACCAAAUGUUGCUUUAAAACCUUGUUUGCAUGAGUUAAAUAUGAGGAUUCAAGCCUUUAAAGUUUAUUUUAGCUUGAAAUCCUUGUUAUGUUUUAGUACCCUUUCCUUGUUUUGUCAAUUUACUUGCAUAUUGAUGAAUGCUUUGAUUUAAGCUUGACUAUGCUUUUAAAUUGGGGAUUCAUUUAUUGAACUACUACUUAUUGGUUGUGUAUUGUGUGUGUUAGAAACAUGGAUGUGCCUGAAAAUAGGAAAUCAAUGGAUAAUAGAUUAGAUUCCUUAUAGGAAUACAUGUAUUAGCGAGGGAAUUAGCGAGGGAAAGGAAAUAAAAGUGUCAGGCGAUUAGCGACGGAAAAUUCCAUCGCAAACAGCGACGGACUGCUAUGUUCCGUCUUAAAUAGCGAUGGAGCGUUCCGUUGCAAAUAGCGACGACUAGUUAUGUUCCGUCGUAAAUAGCGACGGCUAGUUAUGUUCCGUCGUAAAUAGCAACGGAAUAUCCCGUCGGAAAUAGCGACGGAUUCAUGGGAUAAUCCUGUAAACGAUUUAGCGACGGAAAUAUAUAAGUUAGCGACGACUAGUUUCCGUCGCUAUUAGCGACAGAAUUAAUUUUCCGUCGUUAAUUUUUUAGCGAGGCCAGUUUGCACGGCGGAUGGCAUUCCGUCGGUAAAUGUUUUGCGACGGAUUUUUGCUUAUUUAGCGACGGAUUUUGUCCGUCGCUAAAUAGCUUUUUUUUUUUUAGUAGUGGUACCUGAAUAGCUUAUUGAAGCUGAAGCUAGAAAUGUAACAUUCCUCAAUCAGUUCUUGGGCUUAGCAUAUUUAUUCUUGGUGUAUUUCCUUAAUCUUAGAGAUAGUUUCCUCCUUAGUUUAUUUAAAAAAUAUAUACAUUGUUGGAAUUAUAAGGAAAAGAAUAUUGGAAUAUUAUUUUUUAUGUUUGUAGAUUACAAGAGGUUAAAUUUAUGUAUAAUUCUAAGAUUGUAUGUACAAACACAAUAAAGAAGAAUAACUAUUAAUGGUGUUGAUUACCUUAAGUGUUUGCUAGAUAUUUAGGUGUUAUAAUUGCAUUAGCAACACCCCCUUUAAACUUAAGUAGGUAGGACGCAAAUCGAAUCUGGUUAGUGUUGAAAAAGCAUUGUAGCUAGGGACCAAAUUCUUCAUAUGGUAUUGGAACCAACAACAACCAAACUACAUAUCUAGCGAGGCCAAACCAUUUAGAAGUGUAUAUAUAUAGAUGGGAACUAAUUUGCAACAAGAUAGGUUGAAAUUCAACAUGGAAACUCUCCGCGCGACCAUAUUCUUUACACUUCUUUGUUACAAAUUCUUUGCUGUCCAUUUUUAUAUUACAUGGUUCACAUUGGUUAAUAAGAAGGUUAAAUUGGUCAAUUUUUUUAAACAAUUAGUCAUUUUGCUACUACAAAUUAAAAACUACACGGAUUCAAAUUCGUUGAAAUUGGGGAUUCCCUGUGUUAUUACUUCCUCUGUUUUUUUAAAGUGUCGACUUUUAGCAAAUUUCUUCUUUUCAUAUUUUUUUUUUGGGUAUAAACAUCUGGUAAUUGUUAUUUGAAAAAUUUACAAUAAUAUUAAUUUGCUAUUUUAUCAACUAUAUAUACUUCUUCACUACAUAAUAAAAGAAAAAACUAUACUUCUUCACAUCAUCAAUAUAUAUUAGAAAAGAAGAACUUCUAGCAUGACGUGUCGCUCUCACAGGCCAAGUUAGUGACGUGUCGCUCCGAGAUUAAUUCUCACUUAAUUAUUUACACGUCAGCUUUUCCACCUAUUAAUUCUCAUUUAAUAAUUUACACAUCAGCUUUUCCACCUUGGCCCUAUUUGCCACAUUAAAUUUUAGAUUUGAUUAGGAUUUAGGUUGUUUAUUUCUUGAUUUAAUCUUAAUUUAUUUUUAAUUUAUUUUUAGAGCAUUAAUUAAUUUUUAUGGUAUUUUUAUUGAAUUUUCGGAUUUUUAAUUAAUUCAGAAUUUUAUGAGUUUUUAUUGUGAUUUGCUAAAUUUUGAUAGUUUUUAUCUAUAUUUAUUUAGUACCUUUUUAAAUUUUAGAUUUGAUUAGGAUUUAGGUUGUUUGUUUUUAUGUAUCUUUGUUAGAUAGUUUCUGUUAAAAAAAUCUUCCUAAAAAAUAUUGUUUUUUAUAUAGAGUAUCAAUAUCAAUCUAUAUUAGAAAAUAAAAAGGGUUAGUAGAGCAAAAAAACCUUCAUACGUUCUCUAUCUCUAAAUACUCACACAAUUUUCUCUAUUUCUCCCUUCUUCAUCUCAACCAUGGCAAACCUCAAAUCAUAUAUGCUUCAAAAACAACAUGGACCUUCACUCACUUCAAUUAAAUUUUUCAUUAUAAAUUUAUCCCCAUCACAAUUGAGAAUUUUUUUUUUAUGGUUACCAAGGGAAAUCACAAUUGAGAUUUGAGAGUGCAUGUUCUUCAAACUCAAAAACGAGUUUCUCACUUCUUGCUUCAGCCUCUUUGUUCCAGGUAUGUAAAAAACAAUGCUUUGUGGCUUUGUAGACUAAGAAUUGUUAUCACUCAAAAGUCAAAGGCAUAUCAUUUUCCUCAUAUCUCUGGUAGUCCUUCUUCUUCAAUUUUAAUGAUUCUUUCAUGUAGUUCUAGAAGUGUCUUUUGUUCGCCAAAACAUGUUUUAACCCAUUCUACGUUUCAUUAUUAUUGUUUUGUAAUGUUCAUGUAUUAAUGUGUUUGUUGAUAAAAAAAAAUUAACAUUGAUAGAUGAACAUCCCAUAUUUUUUUUCAUUGUUAUGUAUGUUAUUUCAACAUUUAUCUAUUCUCACUGGUCAUGAAAGGUGAAUUGUUUUCCAUCUGUUCUCACUUUUUAAGGGGGGAUUAAAAGUUUCUUUGAUGUUGUAAGCUUAUGAAUUAGGCUAACCAGAUCUUACUGCAGUGUGUUAUCCAAAUCUUAAGGUUAAUGGCCAUAAGUACGUACUUUAAUUUGAGGCAUGUACUACUAACAAAGAUUGAGAUAUAGGUGCAUUUGAAUGUAUGUGAACAUUUAUACAAACAUAGUCUUAGUGACUAACAUAAGCGAGGUGAGAUCAAUAAAAAAAAUAUUGUGCAUAUAAAAUAAAAAUCAGAAAAUUCACUAAAAAUACCAUAAAAUUUAAUUAAUACUCUAGAAAUAAAUCAAAAAUAAAUUAAGAUAAAAUCAAGAAAUAAACAAUCUAAAUCCUAAUCAAAUCUAAAAUUUAAAAAGAUAUUUUUUAUGAGAAUAUAAUUAACUUGAGAUCAAUAAAAAAAAUAUUGUGCAUAUAAAACAAUAGAAAAUAUAUAUUUUUUAAUUAAUCGAGGUAUGUGGAAAAGUAGUGUGAUUCAUUUCACCUUGCAAUUUAGAUUUUUUCAUAGUUUGGGUGGGAUUCUUCUACAACUGAAUACCUAUAGGUUAGUGUUAAUUUGGAAUUGCCAAAUCCUAUUGCUAUCAGGCUGAUUUAGUGACGUGUCGUUCUCACGUUAAUUCUUAAUGAUGUGUCAUUCCCACGUUAAUUCUCAUAAAAAAAAAUUCCACGUGUCAUUCUCAGGUUAUUUCUCAUAAAAAAAAAAUAUUUUUAAAUUUUAGAUUUGAUUAGGAUUUAGGUUGUGUAUUCCUUGAUUUUAUCUUAAUUUAUUUUUUAUUUAUUUAUAGAGUAUUAAUUAAUUUUUAUGGUAUUUUUAUUGAAUUUUCGGAUUUUUAAUUAAUUUAGGAUUUUAUGAGUUUUUAUUGUGAUUUGCAAGAUUUUGAUAGUUUUUAUCUAUAUUUAUUUAGUACAUUUUUAAAUUUUAGAUUUGAUUAGGAUUUAGGUUGUUUAUUUCAUUAUUUUAUCUUAAUUUAUCUUAUUAUUGAUUUAAGUUGUUUAUUUCUUGAUUUUAUCUGUUGGUCUUUUAUUUUAUUUUUGAUUUAUUUUUAGAGUAUUAAUUAAUUUUUAUGGUAUUUUAUUGAAUUUUCGUGAUUUUAUGAGUUUUUAUUGUGAUUUGCUAGAUUUUGGUAGUUUUUAUCUAUCUUUAGUUAGUAUCUUUUUUAAUUUUAGAUUUGAUUAGGAUUAAGGUGAUUUAUUUCUUGAUUUUUUGUUGGUUUUUUCAAGUAUCCUUAGACUUUAAUUACGAUAAAAAAAUUAGAAUAUAUUUUUAAGAAAAAUACAAUGAGAAAUAAAUUCUAUGAUUCUGUCUACUAAGUUAAGACACAACCCCAAGUCCUAAUUCUAAAAGAAGGAAUUAUCUAUCACUCUAAUAUAAUCCUCAUGAAACAGGAAUGGUCAGUCAGCCAAUUAUACAUAUUCCUUCAUUACCAAGAUAACUGCACUAGAUACUUAUGUUUUAUCUAUGUCAGCCUGCUACAUGAUGACACCAUUGUAAACAUGAGGGAGCAUGGUUUUCUAAUAAUAGGAUGUUUGCUUGAAAGGCUUCUCCUGAUUGCUUGAUGGGCAUUAUCAGUUUGAAAUACAAUCAAAAGUUAAAAACUUUAUUUUCCUAGAUCUCAAAAGUUAUCUGAACAGAUAUUUUUCUCUUCAAAGUCCAAUUACUAUUUAAGUUGAUGUGGUCAUUGCUGGAUUUUGUUGGGGUGCAACCUUAAGAAUUAAGUUAGAUUUCCUUCCUAGGUCUUUUGUUUUAAGUAAUUUUAACUGUCCAUUACCACCUAUGAAGAAGUAAAGGGCUAUAGAACAGUGCUAAAUCUAAAUUAGGGCUAUGAAAAUAAACUACAAAUAUUACACUGAUUAAGGCCAUGAGAUGGUAUGAGAAAAAUGAUAAUUUGAUUUAAACGGGUAAAGUACAAUUUUUACUCAUUUAACUUACGAUUAAGAAAAAGUAACCAAAACAUAAUGCAAUAAGGGGAAGACAAGUAUGGUAACAUAUAUAGAGAAGAAAAAGAAAUAAGUAGACAAUCACAAGAUCUCUAUGGCGCAAGCGACAGGGACGCAUACCACACUUCAAGUCUUCAACCCCGCCCCCAAAAGCCUCCUCAAGGACAUGCCCUCCGCCCCUGAAACCAACGCCGAUUUGGGUUUUCGCAAGUUGCAUAGGAUCAUCGACAGGGAAGAUGAUUACCGCCAGAGGAGGCUCAACAACAUAAUAUCCUUCUCUGAAGAAGGACCUCUACCUCUCGCUUUCCCACAAUCCUCCUCAACGACAAUGGCAAAGAGGUAACUUAAUUUUUUUCCCCUUUAUUUUUUGUGUCUGAUGAAAUGCUUAGUAGAAGGGAAACUGAAAUUUUAUUUUGGUGAUGGUUUUCAAAAGAUGAAUGAUAUAUCAAUUCCAAUAUGUUUCUCUGGCUUAACAAAAUAAAAUAGCAAGAGUAGUAAAGCAUUUCAGCAAGAACCUGUGUUUUGGUUCUCAACCUUGACAUGUCUUUGAGCCAUCAAAAAAAAUUGAAAAUAAGAAGAGAAAAUGAUAUCACUUUCCAGAACCAUAAAUCUAAAAAAAAGGGAAAAAGUAAUAAAUGAUGAGAAUACAUACAUCAAAUUUUCCAUCAUAGAUCGUAGCACCAACCUGAGCCAUAUCGUGAGUCUCAAAGGUAAUCACACCGCUCUGCCAUGGGAUUAACACUGUCAUUACGAAUACUUUCUUCAACCUACAAAUCAAGGAGAAAAAAUCACACAUGUUAUUUAACCCCUGAAAAUGCAUAAAAGCCAAAGAUAUAUAAGGACUCCGUUGAAUAUCUGUUAAGAUUUAGUUUAUUAUUAAUCUAACAAAGAGAUAAAAAGAAACUAAAUAUAUCUAAACCUAUCUCUAUUUAAAUAGAUAUUAUCUCUAUUUAAAAAAUUCAAUAAAAAUACCAUAAAAUUAAUGAAUACUCUAAAAAUAAAUCAAAAAUAAAUUAAGAUAAAAUCAAGAAAAAAACAACCUAAAUCCUAAUCAAAUCUAAAAUUUAAAAAUGUAUUUUUUUUAUGAGAAUUAACCUGAGAAUGACACGUUGAAUUUUUUUAUGAGAAUUAACGUAAGAAUGACACGUCACUAAGAAUGACACGUCACUAAGAAUUAAUGUCCCUAACUUUUUUUUAAAAGAGUGAGUUUGAAAGUUAUAGCUUAAGUUAAUUUGUUAAUAUAUUUCCAAAUAAUAAUAAUAAUAAUAAUAAUAAUAAUAAUAACAUAUGUGUGCGGGUAUGAGCCGGUUGGGUACUAUAAUGCUCAUACCCGCACUCAUACCCACUACUUUUGCGGGUAAUUACCUAUACCCAACCUCAUACCCAUUUAGCGGUUUUUUACCAUACCCAUAGUUGGUAUUUUUUGCGGGUACCAUAUGGGCCCGAAACCCUAUGGGUCCGAGACCCACUGCAAUCCCUACAUUUAGAUUUUGGCAAAGAUGAAGAGCUUCCUGUAAUGACAUUGAAUUGUCUAAAGGUGGAGAGCAUCGAGUUGCUACCCACGCGAGUAUGGGGACGAGAACAGGUAAUUUUUUAAAACGCAGGUAUGAGGAUGGUUCUAUAGUACCAUACCCAUUGUCAUCCCUACUUAGUUGGAAUAAACACAAUAAUGUCAUACUUUAUGAUUUAUCUUACACAAUCCUAAUUUGUGCUACUAUCACAUUCAUUUUUUUUAAGAUUAAUUUGUUGCUAAUUUCUUAUAUCUAUGAUUUGUGUUAUUGUCUUCAUAUUCACGAAGAAUGUAAAACGAGUUCCUGUUGAUCUCAACCAGGCUUAUAACAGAAGUCUUUAUGUCAACUUUGCUUAGCAUUUCUGAGUCUUCUAUUUCAUUCAUUGUUUAAUAUAUUUUUAAUAAUCAAGGUAUUAAUUGACGUAUCAAAUACAAUAGACGUAUUCCCCGUGCAACGCGCGGGUAAAAAAACACUAGUAAACUAAUAAAAGAGAAUUGUAUAGUUAAAGGGAUAAAUCAUUACAACAUUUUUCUUUUUCUUUUUGCAAUAGCCCAAAAGUGUAGCUAUCAACAAAAAAUAUGUUUCAUCCUACACAAUAGUUUUCAAUAGUCUCAUGUUUCGGCGUUAUCUUCCAUUUGGUAACAGUUUCUCCUAAUCUAUGGUAACACUGAGAAAAUGUAACUUUUUGUGUGAAAAAAUCAACAAUUCCCACAUAAUGAGUGCUCUCUAUUAUUAGAUACAAAACACUUAUUUAGUGUUUAAAAAACAUGUUGCCUAAAAUGAGUCAUCUAUGACAACAAUCACAAAUUGAUUUCUUUUGUAUUUUAAGCAACACUUUUUGUGUGCAGCUUAAACUAGUGUUACCAAAAACAAAAAAUAUUGCAGUGGAUGAUAAAUUAGAAAAUUAAACAAUAUUAAUGAAAAUGAGAAAUUAACUAUUUUCUGCAAUACAAUUAAUUAUCUUUCUUAAUCUUUCUAUCAAAACCUUAAACGAUAAUUGCAAAGAAAGAAAGGGAGUAUUAGUGUAACUAGUAGCUAGUGGGGCGGCCGGGUGGGUGGGUUUCUUAGGUUAUUGUAAUAACGUAAGGAAUUGUACAAAGACCAUGCAUCCCAUGGUCUGAAAUUAAGUUGGGUGGGUUUCUGAUGUAGAUUUCUUAUAUACAUCACCUAAUGUUACCCUAAAUUCAAACUUGAUUCCUUUGUAUAAUUGUAUUGCAUAUAACUAGCUCUUCUAAUAAUGCACAUAUCACUUUCAAAGUCCACAUUAUCAUAUAUAUUGCGAUGAUCCCCUUACGGUGUGUUUGGUUCAAUGGAGGGGAGGGGAGGGGAGAGAUUUUAAUGGAGGGGAGGGGAGGGAAGGGGAUGGGAGGGGAGGGAUUUUAAUAUUUAUUAUGUUUGGUUCAUAGGAGGGGAGGUGAGGGGAGGGAUUUCAAUAUUUAUUAUUUAUUAUUAACAAAACAAGGGGUUUGUGAGUGUAUGUCCAUGUUCUAGGAGAUAAGGAUAUACGACCAGUGGCAGCAAGGUGGCGUGCGUGAGAAUGGGUCCGUGCGAUUGGCGAUUGCAUAAAAAUAAACCAAGAGAAAAUUAAGUUUUAGUUUGAUAGAUCUGACGAAAAUUAGAAGAAGAUGAAGCCUUCGCACAGGGGAGGCUGAGAGGAACGGCAAGGAUAGAUGAAUAAGGCAUGAAAGUAGGCUUAGGUCGGCAGAACUGGAAUUCCAACUAUGUAUAGGGAUAUUUUUGUCCAGUAAUUUAUUUCCCCACCAAAUCCCCCCACUUUUGGAGGGGACAAAAAAUUGGGUUAGGAGGGAUUUUGGUCCCCUCCCCUCCCCUCCCUUUCUAAAAGUUGAACCAAACAUAUUAAGUUUUAAAAAACCCCUCCCCUCCCCUCCCCUCCCCUCCCCUCCAUUCCCCUCCAACCAAACAUUAUGUUAGGCUUCAAUUCAAAAUAUCGGUCACAUUAAUUCCCAUGGUGUUGGUCACAAUAGUAUCCACAUACAAUGACCAAAAUUCGAAUAGUUUGAAUACUUCAAAAAGUGUUUAUUUAAUUUGCAUUAUUUGUUGCUUAAUAUAAUUAAUGGAAAAAGGGUAAUGGAUUGUUCCGAGAAGCAACUAAAAAAAUGGAAAAACAUCUCCAAAGUAUAACUGAAUGGGACAAACAAAAAUAAACAAAAGAAAUGGUAGGAAAGGGUUAUGGGUAUCUUCUUAUUAUUCUUUAAGUGGUGGCCUCAAAACAUCCCCAUCACAAUUUUACAUGAGACAGAAGGAUAUAGAUUUGAGUAUCGAAAGCUAAAUUUCCAUUCAACAAAUCAUCGAACUUGCACAUGAUAGUGUCGGUUUUGAUGUCAAUAGUUGAUUUCAUUUGUAUAUCAAUCUUUUAUGAAUGCUUAUUAUUACUAACACCCGUUCUAUCUUCCAACCUCACUGAUUAAGAACUAGUGGAAUUAAAUAUUUCUGUUCAUUUAUCUUAUUGUGCAGAGAAAUUGCAAAGAACCUGCACAACUCCUUUUCUUUUUGGUCCUACAAACUCCAUACAAUGGAUAGAUAGCUAAUUUGCACAUUGCAUGCAAAUUUGACCAAAGACCUUUCGGAAUGAACUGAUCUCUCGGGUAUGUUAUGUGGGCCCUGGAUGAACAGUUGGUAUGUCAACUCAAUAAUGACACUGAUAUGAAAGGGUUUGAUUGCAAUCUAUUAGAAUUGGGUCGAGUCUAAAAAACCAACUCUUAAGGUCGUCGCAUAACCAAGAAUCAAUUAUCUAAAAAACUUAAAUUUUCUGGUGCGGAAGCAAUUAGGCCGGUCACCUAAAUCUGGAUUGGACUAAUAAUCCUCCUCCAAAGGGUGCAGAGUUUUGAAUCUGGACAAAGCAAGCCUUGAUAUAGGCAGGGUUAAGGACCGUCGAGGAACUUGUGCCCCCCCCCCAACGAAAAGGGGGAGGCCAACCUCUUUCAGAGCGCAGGAGUACAGGACGGAAAUUUUUUACCUUUGCACCAAACUGGAACUUCAAACCAGGUAGGCUAAAUAAGAGCUCUCGAGCUGCUUUCACCCAAAUGAGCGAUGGAGAAGAAGUUUGUUUACCCGAUAGGGAAGCUGUGACCCCGGUGGCUGGAGUGGAACCCUAGAGUUUUAGGGAAAAAAAAUCGGAUCUUUAGUGUUUCUAACAAAUUCUGGAAGAAGUUUGUUUACUUGAUAGGGAAGCUAUGACCCCAACGGCUGGAGCGGAACCCUAGAUUUUUAGGGCAAAAAUCGAAUCUUUAGUGUUUCUAACAAGUUUUGAUUCUUAGUUUACUUUCACCAAUUUAGUAAUUGCUUCUCACUUGUAAACCUCCAACCAACUUUUAGUUUUACCCCUCCCUCUUUUGGAUUCGAAUGUUUGUCCUCUGGUUGAAACCUCUGAACCUCACCUUGAAGCCUCUGAACAACAUGUUCAAAACUUUAACAUUGGUUCUCCUCAAGGUGUUUCUGAGGCACACAGUAGCAAUCACCCAACCUCUCCAGAACCAAACCUCUCCAUAGUUCCCUACACUUACCUCAGACGCACCUCUCUCUCUGAGUGCAUCAAUGUUUUUAAUCAUGAAGCUUCUUUGAUGCUACGCAACGUGCAAGGUCACACUGACUUGAGUGAGAAUGCUGAUUCUGUUGCUGAAGAGUGGAAUAGUCUGAGUACUUGGUUAGUAGCUCAGGUACCUAUUAUGAUGGAGCAUCUGACUGCAGAAAGGGAUCAGAGGAUCGCGGCUGCAAAGCAGAGGUUUGUAAGAAGGGUGACUCUUCAUGAACAACAACAAAGACAUAAGCUCCUUGAAGCUGUUGAAGAGGCCAGAAGAAAGCAAGAACAAGCAGAGGAAGCUGCACGUCACGCAGCAACUCAAGCUGAACAAGCACGAUUAGAGGCAGAGAGACUUGAAGCUGAAGCUGAAGCCCGUAGAUGCCAAGCACUUGCACCAGUGGUCUUUACUCAUGUUGCGUCUGCUUCCUCUCCAGCUCAUCAAGCUGCUCAGAAUGUUCCUUUUAGCUUUGAUACUAAUUGAAGGUAUGAAAAACGGUAGAAAAGGGGGGGGUUUGAAUAACAUUUUCAAAAUAAAAGUUCCACCUUAAAGAUUUUAACAAAUAUUUUCGAGAACUAAGUGCUAAAGAUAGGAGAUAGAAAAGCACACAAGGAUUUUUAUCCUGGUUCACUUGAUAAAUCACUCAAGCUACUCCAGUCCACCCGUUAAGGUGAUUUCUUCCUUCUUAGAAUGAAGGCAAUCCACUAAUCAGGUAUGUGUUACAACUGCACUUGAAACCUACAAGUGACUAACAAUACACUGACUUAGCUCACACUAAGAUUCACUCUCUUAGUCUUCUCUCGGAUCCGAUCAACCUUGAUUUCCUAAAGGCAAACUAUACAACUGUAUAUGAAGUUCUUGUUUACAAAGAAAGUGCUUCUAAAAAGCUUAUAGUAAACACAAUGAAAUUCCCUUAGAAGGAUUUGAAUAUUUCUUGCGCGUAUAUGAAUGCUUCUAGCCGCUUCUUUCAAUCUUCAACCUCUAUUUAUACUCCAAGGAUUAGGGUUGAACGUUGCAUGGAAAUGCUACCGUUGGAGGGCAGUUCUGGAAAUUCCAGCUUCUACUAUGGCUUAGGAUGUUAGGUAGGUCGUCAGAAUAGUACACUUUGCUUUUGUACUUUGGAUAGUGACUUGACCUUAACCUCGUAGACUUCUGAUCAGAGGAGCGCUUCAUAUUGGAACUUGUGAAGCUGAUUGAUCAGAGUCAGAGGGAAGCUUGGAUCCUCUGACCGUUGUACCUUCUGAUCUUCACUUCAGAGGAUCAGUACAUGGUCUUCAGAGCCAGUUGCUUCUGGACUUCAGAGUCUUCACUCUUCAGAGUCUGGAUCGUCAGAGUCUUCUACACCAUGAGAGCUUCUGAGCCUUCAGAGUCUUUUGGUUGUCAGAUCUUCUAGAUCAUCAGACCUUCAAGUGAGCUGAGUCCUUAUCAGAGCUUGAUUUUCUUCAGAUCUUCUGAA